rnacentral:rRNA from 1 species
AGAGUUUGAUCAUGGCUCAGAUUGAACGCUGGCGGCAGGCCUAACACAUGCAAGUCGAGCGGUAGCACAGAGAGCUUGCUCUCGGGUGACGAGCGGCGGACGGGUGAGUAAUGUCUGGGAAACUGCCUGAUGGAGGGGGAUAACUACUGGAAACGGUAGCUAAUACCGCAUAACGUCGCAAGACCAAAGUGGGGGACCUUCGGGCCUCAUGCCAUCAGAUGUGCCCAGAUGGGAUUAGCUAGUAGGUGGGGUAACGGCUCACCUAGGCGACGAUCCCUAGCUGGUCUGAGAGGAUGACCAGCCACACUGGAACUGAGACACGGUCCAGACUCCUACGGGAGGCAGCAGUGGGGAAUAUUGCACAAUGGGCGCAAGCCUGAUGCAGCCAUGCCGCGUGUGUGAAGAAGGCCUUCGGGUUGUAAAGCACUUUCAGCGGGGAGGAAGGCGAUAAGGUUAAUAACCUCAUCGAUUGACGUUACCCGCAGAAGAAGCACCGGCUAACUCCGUGCCAGCAGCCGCGGUAAUACGGAGGGUGCAAGCGUUAAUCGGAAUUACUGGGCGUAAAGCGCACGCAGGCGGUCUGUCAAGUCGGAUGUGAAAUCCCCGGGCUCAACCUGGGAACUGCAUUCGAAACUGGCAGGCUAGAGUCUUGUAGAGGGGGGUAGAAUUCCAGGUGUAGCGGUGAAAUGCGUAGAGAUCUGGAGGAAUACCGGUGGCGAAGGCGGCCCCCUGGACAAAGACUGACGCUCAGGUGCGAAAGCGUGGGGAGCAAACAGGAUUAGAUACCCUGGUAGUCCACGCCGUAAACGAUGUCGAUUUGGAGGUUGUGCCCUUGAGGCGUGGCUUCCGGAGCUAACGCGUUAAAUCGACCGCCUGGGGAGUACGGCCGCAAGGUUAAAACUCAAAUGAAUUGACGGGGGCCCGCACAAGCGGUGGAGCAUGUGGUUUAAUUCGAUGCAACGCGAAGAACCUUACCUGGUCUUGACAUCCACAGAACUUUCCAGAGAUGGAUUGGUGCCUUCGGGAACUGUGAGACAGGUGCUGCAUGGCUGUCGUCAGCUCGUGUUGUGAAAUGUUGGGUUAAGUCCCGCAACGAGCGCAACCCUUAUCCUUUGUUGCCAGCGGU